GGGGGCGUAAUUGGUUUCGACGCGAUCGAUCAGCGGAAAAGGUUGCAUGUCGAGGGUCCGCCAGGCCUCGUAAAAAAGGCGGAAUCAAUCAAAAUGCCAACCAUGAAAUGGCGCUUGCCGCUUAAGUAAAGCGGCCGUCCGCUGCUUCUUUGCCUAUGAGGAGCAUGUCGGGCGUUGUUUAGUAGGCUAGGCGUCGGGAGCGCGCCGCAAGCGGCCUGACGCGACAUCAAAUGCGGCUAGCGAACGCAUUCCCUGCCCGCGGGGACGGCGCAAGCGAACAUUAAACGCGGGAUAAACACGUAGAGCCUUUUCAGCGGCGUUCGCGGACGCGAGUUCGACUCUCGCCGCCUCCACCA
rnacentral:tmRNA from 1 species